UGCCUUAGAUUCCUCACCUGCAAAAUGGGAGUGACAGCAAUAUUGCCGACCUCCAAGGGUUGCUGAGAAGACUAAAUGAGUUAAUAUAUGCAAAGUACCCAGAAGCAUGCCUGGCAGCUGGUAAGAGCUAGUUUGGAGUUGCUUGAAAGCAGGAAAGAAAUCCCAGGAAAGGAAAGAAGAACAAAGAAAGUAUGACAGACCCAAGAAGAGACAAUAAAGGCCUCUUUAGCAUGAAUGACUAAGCCCUGUGAUGCAAAGAGACAGCAAGGUGAAAAAGGGACUAGAAAAGCCCCACACAAUGCUUCAUGACAUUGAAGGACAUUUUGGAACAGGUGGCAUGGUGAAAGUACCCAGGCAGACUGGAGAAGGAAUAUUUUACAGGUGUUAAUGGAGUCUGGAAGCUGGACACUUGAGGAAAGAUGAAGAUGGUAUGGUGAUGGCCUGGGGGCUGUAAUGGGUGGUGGUGCUGAUAGUGGAAACUGUGUUGAGAUGAAGUUUCAGAGGUGGCAAGAAGCAGAAAAAAAAUGGUGCUCAAUUCUCACAGCACCUGGACUGUGGUCUCUAAAUAAAUAUGAAUGCUAUUACCCACUAAAAGCAAUCAGAGCUCCUUGGAGAAAUGGC
rnacentral:lncRNA from 1 species